CGCGUGCAUGACACGGGACAUGUGCAUAGUGCAGACAUCCCCUUCGUGCGCACGACACGGGGCCAGGACCUGUGCACACAUCUUGUCAUGCGUAGACAGGUUAUCCAUACGUCAUUUUGUGCUUGGACUGGCACUGCACACUUUGCGCGCUCUGUUCGCGCCUGAGGCCUGCGCGAAAAAGGCUUGCACAGGCAGUGCCCAGUGCCCUUAGGGCUUGCGCAUGCAACAGCAAGCCUGCAGCGCAUCGGCUGGGCGUUGCCACCUCGGGCAGUGCUCUGUUGCUGCUUUAGGCAACACAUCACCGCCACUGGGGGAGGAAAUUUUUCUGCUUCAUUUUUCGUGCCAAGAAUCUUUUUCUCCUUUCUCUUCACUAGAUUUUGCCACUUGGCACAAAUAUAAUGGUUCUAAAAUUCUAUAAAUUACCCUCCACCUUCCAUUCCUCUCUACACUUCCAUUUCUUCAAAUUUUCAAAGUUU
rnacentral:lncRNA from 1 species